rnacentral:rRNA from 1 species
GACGAACGCUGGCGGCGCGCUUAACACAUGCAAGUCGAGCGAAGCUGCGGACGGGUGAGUAACACGUGAGUAACCUGCCUUAGACAUUGGGAUAGCCUCGGGAAACCGGGAUUAAUACCAAAUGGUCUAAGAUUGACUCGCGUCCCAUUAGCUAGUUGGUGGGUAACGGCCCACCAAGGCGGCGAUGGGUAGCCGUCCUGAGAGAGUGAAAGGCUAAAUUGGAAAUGAGAAACGUUCCAAACUCUACGGGAGGCAGCAGUGGGGAAUAUUGCACAAGGGAGGGAACUAUGAUGCGGCGACGCCGCGUGAACGAAGAAGGCCUUAGAGUCGUAAAGUGCUUUUAUAUGGGAAGCGGUACCAUAAGAAAAAGCCCCGGCUAACUACGUGCCAGAAGCCGCGGUAAUAC